CCUACGGGGGGCAGCAGUGAGGAAUAUUGGUCAAUGGGCGGAAUCCUGAACCAGCCAAGCAGCGUGCAGGAUGACGGCCCUACGGGUUGUAAACUGCUUUUAUACGGGAAUAACGCGCCUUACGUGUAGGGCUUUGCAUGUACCGUAUGAAUAAGGACCGGCUAACUCCGUGCCAGCAGCCGCGGUAAUACGGAGGGUCCGGGCGUUAUCCGGAUUUAUUGGGUUUAAAGGGUGCGUAGGCGGUUUUUCAAGUGUGCUGUGAAAUGCCGGGGCUCAACACGGGGCUUGCAGCGAGUACUGGAGUACUAGAGACCGCGUGCAGCAGGCGGAAUUCGUAGUGUAGCGGUGAAAUGCUUAGAUAUGACACAGAACACCGAUUGCGAAGGCAGCUUGCUAGGGCGGAACUGACGCUGAUGCUCGAAAGCGUGGGGAUCGAACAGGAUUAGAUACCCUUGUAGUC
rnacentral:rRNA from 1 species